AGUGAACGCUGGCGGUAGGCCUAACACAUGCAAGUCGAACGGCAGCACAGUAAGAGCUUGCUCUUACGGGUGGCGAGUGGCGGACGGGUGAGGAAUACAUCGAAAUCUACUUUUUCGUGGGGGAUAACGUAGGGAAACUUACGCUAAUACCGCAUACGACCUACGGGUGAAAGCAGGGGAUCUUCGGACCUUGCGCGAUUGAAUGAGCCGAUGCCGGAUUAGCUAGUUGGCGGGGUAAAGGCCCACCAAGGCGACGAUCCGUAGCUGGUCUGAGAGGAUGAUCAGCCACACUGGAACUGAGACACGGUCCAGACUCCUACGGGAGGCAGCAGUGGGGAAUAUUGGACAAUGGGCGCAAGCCUGAUCCAGCCAUACCGCGUGGGUGAAGAAGGCCUUCGGGUUGUAAAGCCCUUUUGUUGGGAAAGAAAGGCAGCAGGUUAAUACCCCGCUGUUCUGACGGUACCCAAAGAAUAAGCACCGGCUAACUUCGUG
rnacentral:rRNA from 1 species